rnacentral:rRNA from 1 species
UACGUAGGGUGCGAGCGUUGUCCGGAAUUAUUGGGCGUAAAGAGCUCGUAGGCGGUUUGUUGCGUCUAUCGUGAAAACCUGCAGCUUAACUGUGGGCUUGCGGUGGAUACGGGCAGACUUGAGUUCGGUAGGGGAGACUGGAAUUCCUGGUGUAGCGGUGAAAUGCGCAGAUAUCAGGAGGAACACCGGUGGCGAAGGCGGGUCUCUGGGCCGAUACUGACGCUGAGACGCGAAAGCGUGGGGAGCAAACAGG